rnacentral:rRNA from 1 species
AGUGAACGCUGGCGGUGGGCCUAACACAUGCAAGUCGAACGGCAGCGCAGUAAUAGCUUGCUCUUACGGGUGGCGAGUGGCGUACGGGUGAGGAAUACAUCGGAAUCUACUUUUUCGUGGGGGAUAACGUAGGGAAGCUUACGCUAAUACCGCAUACGACCUACGGGUGAAAGCAGUGGAUCUUCGGACCUUGCGCGAUUGAAUGAGCCGAUGUCGGAGUAGCUAGUUGGCGGGGUAAAGGCCCACCAAGGCGGCGAUCCGUAGCUGGUCUGAGAGGAUGAUCAGCCGCACUGGAAGUGAGACACGGUCCAGACUCCUACGGGAGGCAGCAGUGGGGAAUGUUGGACAAUGGGGGGAAGCCUGAUCCAGCCAUACCGCGUCUGUUAAGAAGGCGUUCGGGUUGUAAAGCCCGUUUGUUGGGAAAGAAAAGCAGCAGGUUAAUACCACGCUGUACUGACGGUACCCAAAGAAUAAGCACCGGCUAACUUCGUG